GGUGCGCAGACUCGUGCAGCGGCAAAGGAAGUGCCAAAAUUUGUGUAUGGGAGGGAGAAAAGACAGUUCAGUAACUGCACGAUGGAUACCUAUGAUGUGAUUGCGAAUCAACCAGUUGUUAUAGACAAUGGUUCUGGUGUAAUCAAAGCAGGCUUUGCUGGUGAUCAGAUACCCAAAUAUCAUUUUCCCAAUUUUAUUGGACGACCUAAACAUGUCCGGGUUAUGGCAGGUGCUCUGGAGGGAGAUAUCUUCAUUGGACCAAAAGCAGAGGUAUUCUAACAGUUGGGGUUUCAUGACUGCAAAU